GCCUUUCUAGUACCAACGUUAGUACGAGUGGCUUCCACCCAUUGAGUCUUGGUUCAAGUCCAAGGAAAGGUA
rnacentral:tRNA from 1 species